AUUGAACGCUGGCGGCAGGCCUAACACAUGCAAGUCGAGCGGAGCGGCGGACGGGGGAGUAAUGCCUAGGAAUUUGCCUGGUAGUGGGGGAUAACGUCCGGAAACGGGCGCUUAUACCGCAUACUAUCAGAUGAGCCUAGGUUGGAUUAGCUGGUUGGUGGGGUAAUGGCUUACCAAGGCGACGAUCCAUAACUGGACUGAGAGGAUGAUCAGUCACACUGGAACUGAGACACGGUCCAGACUCCUACGGGAGGCAGCAGUGGGGAAUAUUGGACAAUGGGCGAAAGCCUGAUCCAGCCAUGCCGCGUGUGUGAAGAAGGUCUUCGGAUUGUAAAGCACUUUAAGUUGGGAGGCGUUACCAACAGAAUAAGCACCGGCUAACUUCGUGCCAGCAGCCGCGGUAAUUC
rnacentral:rRNA from 1 species